ensembl:lncRNA
GUCCUAACCCUCCAGGUUUUGCGGGGCAGUUAUCCAGCUCUCCUCCUGGUUCACUGCUUCCUCUCCAGCCCCAGUAGUGUUGCCCUUCAAAUACAGUUCUGUUAAUGUCCAGUCAGACACAGUUUGCUUCCAGUAAGUCAGGUCAAGUCAGUUAAAUUUGGUUUGGUUCAGUUUAUCUUAGUUCAGUUUAGUUGAGCUUAGUUUAGUUUAGUUUCUACUUUAGUAUAGUUUAGUUUAGUUCAGUUCAGUUCAGUUCAGUUCAGUUCAGAGGUUUAGUUUAAGUAGGGUAGCCAGUGGCCACACACCCAAAGACUGGCUUAGUAGGGGGGCACUGUGGCGCAAACAGUAGCCCCGACCACAUUCGGGCUUGACGCCCAUGGAGGACACGGGUUCGAAUCCGGCCAGAUGUAAUUUCUCCUGUCCAUUCCCCACCUCUUCUCCCUCCCUCUCAUUUCCUGUCCCGCUCUAAAUUAAAGGCAUAAAAGCCCAAAAACAAAUCUUAAAAAAAAAAAAAAGACUGGCUAAGUAUACCACUCUGGCCUUCACGUCUCUGCAGCCCUAGCCCGUGUGCCUGAGUGUCCGCUCUACCAGACUUCAAAGAGCGGCUAAUUUCCUGCUUAGCCUGGUCACACUUGGGCUCACCUGGUCACACCUGGCAAUGCACAGGCAAUGAGAGGCACCUGGUAUGGGCGGAGCUUUCUGGGGUACUGCUUUUGUGCUUUGGAUAGCACCGCCCAUUCAGAACCACACCCCCUGGUGGCCAGCAGAGGCACUGUAUGCGCUCCUCCACUGCGCUACCUCUGCCGCCGCUGUCGCCAUGUGGGGCAUCGAUCAGAUAUAUCAAAUCACAGAUCGCACUUAGAGUUAGAGUAGGUUUGUGUUCUUGUGAAAUCACUCUUGAUAGAGAAGGUUUGUUUUUUAGGGAAAUCAAUCUUGUUAGAGUAGGUUUGUGUUCUCGUGAAAUCACACUUAUUAGAGUAGGCUUGUGUUCUCGUGAAAUCAAACUUGUUAGAGUAGGUUUGCUUUUGUGAAAUCCCACUUCUUAGAGUAGGUGAACCAUCUGUAACAGGAGUCUAAGUUCUCAGUAUUGGAU